AUCCAACGUCAAUGAGUAACAAACCGUCGGCCACUCCCCAGCGGUAGACGGUAAUAUCUUCGAAAAAUUACAUACGGUCGCGACUGAGGAUGAAGGAUAACCGUUGCCACAUAUGGUGGUUGGAUUUGGAAUAAAGACGAUAUAUAGUUAGAGCCGGAAUAUCUCGAAAGAACUGUCUUGUUUUGUUUGUAGCCCUUGAUCUAUGUGCGAUGAGGCGGCGGUAAUUACAAGUGACCGGCAAGUGGGACGAAAAAAAAUUAUAAAAUAAUCCAUCUUCAGUUGGUGUCUGGUCAUUCUGCUUAGCCUAUAGUUAUGGUUAAUCAAUACUGAGCAGAAGGGAUUGGUACUAUCCGGAUGUGUACGUUAUGCUCACCGAGCUUCUGAGGUUUUAGCUGCAUCGAAUACGAAAGAGCAUAUUUUGGCAUA